UAUAAAGGGGGAAUACCGCGUAGGUAGAGGUAGUCAUUCAGUUACACUGACUCCACCAUGAUGCUCACAAAGAGACACUCCUUACUCAUUCUACUUGUCAUCACGAGCUUCAUAAUUGCUUCAUCAGAGUCGGUCGACGUGCAUGCUGACUGCAAGAGCCAGUCUUGCGACCAUGAUAAUGAUUGCAGCCGCAGGUGCAGCUGCAGAUACAACAGAUGCGGACCUGACGAGUCAAAGGAGUUCUCGGAAAAGUAGAAACAAGACAUGAACAUCGAUGGAGACUUCUUGCAUUUGGUGAAAACAAAUUACUUGGUGAAGUUCCAUGCUGCAGCUUGUACCGAGAACAGCAGCUUGUAUUACUCUUACAUAUUCGUCUUGGAAACAAUAAAUGAUCCAAUUCAAGUGACUGUUGGA